UGUUGCUUUGAUUUGAUGAUAAACAACAACUAUUGGUGUGGAAGCUCAUCCAUUGGAUUUCUUCACAAACUAUGGAAAUAAUCUAUUGUUGGGAUACUGCUGGACAAGAGAAGUUUGGCGGCCUCCAAGAUGGAUAUUAGAAAUACUUGUAUCUUGCUGGAUGGAAAGCCUAUGAUGACGACCUUUAUCAUGAUCGUAAAAUCUCGAAGCAUUGGAAGUGGAGCUGUGUGCUGAUGGAUGAGGCACAUGCUUUGAAGGACAAAAAUAGCUUUAGGUGGAAGAAUUUGAUGUUGACAGGGACACCACUUCAAAAUAAUCUACAUGUAUGUAUAAUAACUUAUGUAGUGAAUGUUAUUUCUGCAGUGUGGUUGUUUUUUAUUUAACAAUUUCCAGGUACUCUUACGUAGUAACAGUUAGUGGCAGGGAAAACAAAGGAGUUAUACUCUAUGUUGGAGUUUAUGAUGCCUGACAUUUGUGCUUCUGAAGAUGUCAACUUAAAAAAAAUUACUAAGUGCAGAAGAUAGAGAUUUAAUUAGUCGUAUGAAGUCUACCUUAGUGCCAUUUAUUUUGUGGCGUCUGAAAUCUGAUGUGAUGCAGUAACUUGUUCAAAAAACACAGCAGGUUGAAUAUGUCAUAAUGGAAAAGCAACAUGAUCAUGCUUACAAGGAAGCUUGAAUUUGUUAUAAUUGUCAACAAAAUGCAAGUAGUAUUUCCUCCUAACUAACUCCAUUUAAAGAAAAUCAUGGCUAUUCUUUGAAUUAGUAAUUUCCAUGACUCUAACAUUUCAUGAGUUUAUUUAUCUAUAUUUUUGCAAACUUAUUUAGUGGUUGACAAGUUAAGUUUUUGUUUUAUAGUAAAUGGAUCGUACUUGGAUGUACAAUAGGGUACAUGCAAAUAGACGCAGAUUGAAAAAUGGGUAUGUUAGUGUUGUUAAAGAUUUUGUGAAGAUGGCUUUGAAACAACCAAUUUGUAUAUUUGAGGGAGGGAUAAAGUGUCUUUGUAUAAAAUUCAAGUGUAUCAAAAUAUCUAAAACAACUACUCUUAUAAUUAGCAUCGGAUAAGUCUGACGCUAAUCGUUUUGUUAUCUUUU